rnacentral:lncRNA from 1 species
GGAAGAACCGGAACUAUGGUUUGUGCCUUCCUUAUUGCCUCUGAAAUAUUUUUAACUGCAAAGGAAAGCCUGUAUUAUUUUGGAGAAAGGCGAACAGAUAAAACCCACAGCAAAAAAUUUCAGGGAGUAGAAACUCCUUCUCAGAAUAGCUAUGUUGGAUAUUUUGCACAAGUGAAACAUCUCUACAACUGGAAUCUCCCUCCAAGACGGAUACUCUUUAUGAAAACAUUCAUUAUUUAUUCAAUUCCUGGUUAUGUACGUGAUCUAAAAGUCCAAAUAGUAAUGGAGAAAAAGGUUGUCUUUUCCAGUACUUCAUGAGGAAAUUGUUCG